rnacentral:rRNA from 1 species
GACGAACCGUACAAACGUUAUUCGGAAUCACUGGGCUUAAAGGGUGCGUAGGCGGCGGUGCAAGUUGGGUGUGAAAUCCCUCGGCUCAACCGAGGAACUGCGCUCAAAACUGCAUUGCUUGAGGGAGAUAGAGGUGAGUGGAACUUAGGGUGGAGCGGUGAAAUGCGUUGAUAUCCUAAGGAACACCAGUGGCGAAAGCGACUCACUGGGUCUCCACUGACGCUGAGGCACGAAAGCUAGGGUAGCGAACGGG